AUGCCUUGUUCAUGUGUGGUGUGUUUACUAUGUUGUGUGCUUCUUCUUGUUAGUUCCUGUUUCGUUGCGAUCGUGAGGAUUCGUUCGUCUUCGCUUGGUUCGGCUUCAUUCAUUCGUCUUCUUCAUGGACUCGUUCUUCUUCCUUGCGGGAUUUCAGGCAAGAUGACCGCUACCCUGGAUCUCACUACUAUCAUUGCUAUGCUAGUUGCUUCGUUCUAUCCUAUGAUACGCUACCUAUUACCUGUUUAUCAAGCCAUCCCAUAUUGCCAUGAACCUCUAACCUUUGACACCUUACCUAUGCAAACCGUUGCUUGGCUAUGUUACCGCUUUUGCUCAGCCCCUCUUAUAGCGUUGCUAGUUGCAGGUGAAGUUGAAGAUUGCUCCAUGGUGAACAGGAUUUUGGUUGGGAUAUCACAAUAUCCCUUAUAUUAUUAA
rnacentral:rRNA from 1 species